GUCGAGGGGCAGCGGGGUAGGAAGCUUGCUUUCUGCCGCCGGCGACCGGCGCACGGGUGAGUAACACGUAUGCAACCUGGCCGUGACAGAUGGAUAACCGGGAGAAAUCCCGCCUAAUACAACAUAAUGCCGGGAGGGGACAUCCCCUGCCGGCCAAAGGGGGCGACCCCGGUCACGGAUGGGCAUGCGGCGCAUUAGGUAGUUGGUGGGGCAACGGCCCACCAAGUCGACGAUGCGUAGGGGUUCUGAGAGGAAGGUCCCCCACAUUGGAACUGAGACACGGUCCAAACUCAUACGGGAGGCAGCAGUGAGGAAUAUUGGUCAAUGGCCGGAAGGCUGAACCAGCCAAGUCGCGUGAGGGAAUAAGGCCCUACGGGUCGUAAACCUCUUUUGCCAGGGAGCAAUGCCGUCCACGUGUGGACGGAAGGAGAGUACCUGGAGAAAAAGCAUCGGCUAACUCCGUGCCAGCAGCCGCGGUAAUACGGAGGAUGCGAGCGUUAUCCGGAUUUAUUGGGUUUAAAGGGUGCGUAGGCGGCCUGCCAAGUCAGCGGUAAAAUUGCGGGGCUCAACCCCGUACAGCCGUUGAAACUGCCGGGCUCGAGUGGGCGAGAAGUAUGCGGAAUGCGUGGUGUAGCGGUGAAAUGCAUAGAUAUCACGCAGAACCCCGAUUGCGAAGGCAGCAUACCGGCGCCCGACUGACGCUGAGGCACGAAAGUGCGGGGAUCAAACAGGAUUAGAUACCCUGGUAGUCCGCACAGUAAACGAUGAAUGCUAGCUGUCCGGGGGGAUUGACCCCUGGGUGGCACAGCGAACGCGUUAAGCAUUCCACCUGGGGAGUACGCCGGCAACGGUGAAACUCAAAGGAAUUGA
rnacentral:rRNA from 1 species